rnacentral:hammerhead_ribozyme from 1 species
AUUCAGCGGAUGAGUCUCAAAUAGAAUGAAACGCGCGUCCUGGAU